rnacentral:rRNA from 1 species
CAGCAGCCGCGGUAAUACGUAGGGUGCAAGCGUUGUCCGGAAUUACUGGGCGUAAAGAGUUCGUAGGCGGUUUGUCGCGUCGUUUGUGAAAACCAGCAGCUCAACUGCUGGCUUGCAGGCGAUACGGGCAGACUUGAGUACUGCAGGGGAGACUGGAAUUCCUGGUGUAGCGGUGAAAUGCGCAGAUAUCAGGAGGAACACCGGUGGCGAAGGCGGGUCUCUGGGCAGUAACUGACGCUGAGGAACGAAAGCGUGGGUAGCGAACAGGAUUAGAUACCCUGGUAGUCCACGCCGUAAACGGUGGGCGCUAGGUGUGGGUUCCUUCCACGGAAUCCGUGCCGUAGCUAACGCAUUAAGCGCCCCGCCUGGGGAGU